AUUGAACGCUGGCGGCAUGCCUUACACAUGCAAGUCGAACGGCAGCACGGGAGCAAUCCUGGUGGCGAGUGGCGAACGGGUGAGUAAUACAUCGGAACGUGCCCAAUCGUGGGGGAUAACGCAGCAAAAGCUGUGCUAAUACCGCAUACGAUCUACGGAUGAAAGCAGGGGAUCGCAAGACCUUGCGCGAAUGGAGCGGCCGAUGGCAGAUUAGGUAGUUGGUGAGGUAAAGGCUCACCAAGCCGUCGAUCUGUAGCUGGUCUGAGAGGACGACCAGCCACACUGGGACUGAGACACGGCCCAGACUCCUACGGGAGGCAGCAGUGGGGAAUUUUGGACAAUGGGCGAAAGCCUGAUCCAGCCAUGCCGCGUGCAGGAUGAAGGCCUUCGGGUUGUAAACUGCUUUUGUACGGAACGAAACGGCCUUUUCUAAUAAAGAGGGCUAAUGACGGUACCGUAAGAAUAAGCACCGGCUAACUACGUGCCAGCAGCCGCGGUAAUACGUAGGGUGCAAGCGUUAAUCGGAAUUACUGGGCGUAAAGCGUGCGCAGGCGGUUAUGUAAGACAGUUGUGAAAUCCCCGGGCUCAACCUGGGAACUGCAUCUGUGACUGCAUAGCUAGAGUACGGUAGAGGGGGAUGGAAUUCCGCGUGUAGCAGUGAAAUGCGUAGAUAUGCGGAGGAACACCGAUGGCGAAGGCAACCCUCUGGACCUGUACUGACGCCUCAUGCACGAAGGCGUGGGGAGCAAACCGGAGUAGAUACACUGGUAGUCCAAGGUGAAAUUCAACAAUGGAUAUCAAGCUAUUGAUCCCGCCGACCUCGAGGGGGGGCCCGGCGCCCAGCUGUGUUUCCUUUACCUCACAAAAAAAUAUGAU
rnacentral:rRNA from 1 species